GACGAACGCUGGCGGCGUGCUUAACACAUGCAAGUCGAACGAAGUGGCGAACGGGUGAGUAACGCGUAAUCAACCUGCCCUUCAGCGGGGGACAACAGUUGGAAACGACUGCUAAUACCGCAUACUGAAGGAGGGGCUUGCGUCUGAUUAGGUAGUUGGGGGGGUAACGGCCCACCAAGGCGAUGAUCAGUAGCCGGUAUGGGGGGAGGAACGGCCACAGUGGGACUGGGACACGGGCCAGACUCCUACGGGAGGCAGCAGUGGGGGAUCUUCCGCAAUGGACGAAAGGCUGACGGAGCAACGCCGCGUGAGGGAUGACGGCCUUCGGGUUGUAAAGCUCUGUUAAUCGGGACGCGGUACCGGAAUAGAAAGCCACGGCUAACUACGUGCCAGCCGCCGCGGUAAUUC
rnacentral:rRNA from 1 species